AUUGAACGCUGGCGGCAUGCCUAACACAUGCAAGUCGAACGGCAGCACGGGCAUCGGUCUCUCGUCGAGUGGCCGACGGGCGAGUGAUGCAUCGGUACGUGCCCAGCUGUGGGGGCUAGCCGGGCGAAAGCCGGAAUAAUACCGUAAUCGCCCAUAGGGUGAAAGGGGGGGAGCGAAAGAUCUUGCGACCUUGGAGCGUUCGAUGUCGGAUUAGCUAGUUGGUGGGGUAAAGGCGUACCAAGGCGACGAUCCGUAGCUGGUCUGAGAGGAUGACCAGCCACACUGGAACUGAGACACGGUCCAGACUCCUACGGGAGGCAGCAGUGGGGAAUUUUGGACAAUGGGCGCAAGCCUGAUCCAGCCAUGCCGCGUGCGUGAAGAAGGCCUUCGGGUUGUAAACCGCUUUUGUUGGGGAAGAAAAGCUGUGGGCUAAUACCCCGGGGUGAUGACGGUACCGGAAGAAUAAGCACCGGCUAACUACGUG
rnacentral:rRNA from 1 species